rnacentral:rRNA from 1 species
UACGUAGGGUGCGAGCGUUGCCCGGAUUUAUUGGGCGUAAAGGGCGCGUAGGCGGCCUGGCGCGUCGGCUGUGAAAUCUCCCGGCUCAACUGGGAGGGGACGGCCGAUACGGCCGGGCUGGAGCGAGGUAGGGGAGAGUGGAAUUCCCGGUGUAGUGGUGGAAUGCGUAGAUAUCGGGAGGAACACCCAAGGGGAAGCCAGCCGACUGGCCCGCACCUGACACUCAGGGACGACAGCGUGGGGAGCGAACCGG